AAACUUGCGCCAGCAGCACACCAGGGGGACGCCGAAGUUGGAAAGUCUGCAGCGGAGGAGAGUGGGGCGUUGCCUGAGACUGGCUCCUACAGAUUGUGGAGGUGAUACUGUUGGUGGCAGGGAAGAAUGAAGAGGGCUUUCUUUUAGUGGAAGAAAGUUUUGCAGCCUGAGGUUCCUUACUCUGUCUAGCUGUGGUCGAGGUUAUGCAGCCAAAGCUGCAGGUGGAAAGAAGCAACUGCAUACAAGACUCUACCGAGAGAAGAUGGAAAGCAGCCAACGGCAUUGACAGGAUUUAUGUGCCAGAAGGCAAGAGUGGGGACAUGCAAGGUUUUCUGAGGUCUUCAAGGAGUAGUUUCUGGUGGAAGGUGCUUUGCACAGGGAUGAAUGUUGUCAGCAGAUAGAGUGGAGAGAGUUACUCCUGAUUGAUGGCCAGGAGACCAAGAGGAAGUGGGUACCUGAGCAGCAGGAUUACUGGAGCCACGGAGAUGAGCUACAUCCAGAUUCUUUUUUUUUUUUUUUUUUUUUGCCUUUUCUAGGGCCACACCUGCAGCAUAUGGAGAUUCCCAGGCUAGGGGUCAAAUCGGAGCUGUAGCUGCCAACCUACGCCAGAGCCACAGCCACGUGGGAUCCGAGCCGCGUCUGUGACCUACACCACAGCUCACAGCAAUUCUGGAUCCUUAACCCAGUGAGCAAGGCCAGGGAUCGAACCAUCCACCUCAUGGUUCCUAGUUGGAUUCGUUAACUACUGAGCCACGACAGGAACUCCUACAUCCAGAUUCUGACUACGCAAACCAGCAUGGUCUCCAGGAGAGCAGCAGCCUGACCCUCACAGCCACGUGUGCAAUGCAGGUCUCCCACCAAGAGUACUGAGAAUUUAUAACAUUUAAUCUUUGGCAAUUUAAUGAAUUUAAAUGACAUGUUUUUGGUGUUUUGUUUGUGUGUUGUUUGUUUUGGUCAUGCCCUUGGCAUGCAGAAGUUCCCAAGCCAGAGAUCGAUCCUAAGCCACGGCAGUGACAACACCAGAUCCUGAACCUGCCAAGCCACCAAGGAACUCUAUGGCAUAUUUUAUUUUCGUUUUGUACCUUAAAAAGUGAUUUUUUUUUACAUAUUGAUAAAUAUCCAUGUUCUUCCUCAGUAAAGUAUCCGUCUAUAUCUCCUAAAAAAAAAAAAAAAAAGGAAUAAUAGUGGAUCGUAAUCUAUAUAGUAAGGAUGUUAACUUUUUAGUUUCAUGUUUGUUGCAGAUCUUUCUUCAUUUGGCACUUGCAUCUAGUUCAGACUAUGAUUUUUGAUGUAAAAAAUAUUUAAACUUUAGGAGUUCCCAUCGUGGCUCAGUGGUUAACAAACAUGACUAGUAUCCAUGGGGAUGUGGGUUUGAUCCCUGGCCAUGCUCAGUGGGUUAAG
rnacentral:lncRNA from 1 species